rnacentral:rRNA from 1 species
GACGAACGCUGGCGGCGUGCUUAACACAUGCAAGUCGAACGGAAAGGCCCUGCUUUUGUGGGGUGCUCGAGUGGCGAACGGGUGGGUAACACGUGAGUAACCUGCCCUUGACUUUGGGAUAACUUCAGGAAACUGGGGCUAAUACCGGAUAGGAGCUCCUGCUGCAUGGUGGGGGUUGGAAAGUUUCGGCGGUUGGGGAUGGACUCGCGGCUUAUCAGCUUGUUGGUGGGGUAGUGGCUUACCAAGGCUUUGACGGGUAGCCGGCCUGAGAGGGUGACCGGCCACAUUGGGACUGAGAUACGGCCCAGACUCCUACGGGAGGCAGCAGGGGGGAAUAUUGCACAAUGGGCGGAAGCCUGAUGCAGCAACGCCGCGUGCGGGAUGACGGCCUUCGGGUUGUAAACCGCUUUCGCCUGUGACGAAGCGUGAGUGACGGUAAUGGGUAAAGAAGCACCGGCUAACUACGUG